GAGCCUCUGCUGCUCUGCCCUUCGUCCACGCCAUCGGAUUUUUUUAAAAAAUAAUUUAAUUAUAAAAUAAUUAUAGUUUUAAGUCAAAUUUAAUUAUAAUAUAUCCAUAGUAAAAAGACUGAAAUAUCUUUUGGAGCACCUGAAGAAAAAGAUGGGUAUUUCUGACUUUUCGAAGGGCAAUAUAAUGACGUUAUCAUUUAAAUGGACGG
rnacentral:lncRNA from 1 species